AUUCCCUUGAACUUUGAUCUGCAAGUCUUCUUAUUACAUAUGUUGCUUUGAACUUGAUGGAUGGGCAUGGUCAACCAGCAUUGCUUUAUAUCGUCCCGUUUACUCUUGGCACAUUUUUGUCAUUGGGAAAGAAGAGAGGUGAACUCAAUCUUUUAUGGACAAGAGGGGAACCAGAAAUGCCUUGCCCUCAUAACCAAGAGUCUCAACAAUGAACGAAGUGAUAAUAGGUAUAGUAGUAUAGUGUAGCAUAGGUGUUAGUU